rnacentral:misc_RNA from 1 species
AGAUUGUGGUGGAUAACAUGCAAGUGAUUCAAGUAUUAAUCCAGUGGAAAGGAAAACCUGCAGAAGACGCAACUUGGAUGGACUUAGUAGAUUUCCAAAAUCAAUUUCCUUCCUUUAUGCUUGGGGACAAGGCUAUGGUGGCUAUGUUACAGAUUCCAUUUUGCAGCAGGUGGGCCGAGAUGGUUAAAUGGUCCUGGGCAUGUAAGGGUUUAUUCCAGAAGAAAGACAACAGGGGUAGUAAGGGAAAUGGAUGCUGA